AUGGAAAAAGAGAGAAUUUUGAACUUCUUCAAUUUUCCACAAACUUCCUUAAACCUUGCUCCUUGCUUUAUUCUGGUAAAAUUUCAGUCUCCUUCUAGUCCAAUAAAGUGAAUAUAAGUAAGAACUUGGCAUGAAAUAGGGUCGAGAUGCUAGAAAUGGAAGAGGAAAAAUUUUGGCCCUAAGAUUGUGUGUUGUUCUUUG
rnacentral:lncRNA from 1 species